AGCAGGCGGCCAAGAAGACGGCGCCGUCGUCGAACUUCACCUUGGUCUUCUUGCGCUUGACCACAGGCGGCUCCAGCUGGUUCAGAGGCUUCCUUCUGCUGGAGGUUUUCUCCUGCCUGUAAACACUCUUUCCUGAAGGACAUCUGAGUGGACCUUCCACCGUGAAGUUUAUCUGAAUAGCACAAAAAGGGGGAAACAAUUCCACUGAAAAGAGCCAUGGAGUUAUCCAAUAAAGUAAUGCCCACAGCACCAUUUAACUUCUGUCAGGAACAAAGAAAAUUCCAUGAGGUGGUAGACUGAAUAUCCCUGCAGGACGAUGACAGUUCAGAGGAAAUCCAGAUGCAUUUGCAUGGGGGAAACUUCUGUAAACAAGUUCUGCACUCCAGCAAAGAAAUAAAUGUCAAGUGAACAGAAGCCAGUCCCUGAUACAAAGAUUGUGAUAUUAAAUGGAGAACCCAGCAGUUUAUUAAAGGUUUUCACCUUAGUUCACAAUUUCAAGCUCUGCUGAGACUGUUUUCCAGUGCUAUGUUAGAAAAUCAAUACACCCUGUGUGUGUUGCCCAAACAGAAUCACAGUUGGUGCUCUCUUGCCUGGCCCCACAGACUGUACCUAUAUUCACACCAUCCCUGAAACCCAGGGAUGACCACUGCCUGUUUAUCCCGGCUUGAGAGGAGCACAGCACACCAAGUUGGCUAUUUCUAUACCUGUGAGAGCUAAACCACCCCUGUGAUGCCUUGCCAGCCUUGCCAGUCCCAGACCCUUUACCUUCCAUCCCCCCUGCUUUCCCUCUCCUGGUGGAGACACAGCAUUCUCCCACCCCUGGCCCCGGCUCCUCAGGCACUCAGCCACCAUUCUGCAGCAGGUCUGACUGGAUCUGAUGUCUGCCAGAGACUGUUCUUCAGCAGCCAGGCCCCGGAGGUAAGAGCAGUGACUGAGAAAGGCUUCCCCAAGUAAAAUAUGACUUAUUUAUGGGAACAGAGCACUUGGGGAGAAAAGUGUUAAUGUGAGAUGAGCCAACGUCUCACCCAAAAGAUUGACAGGCCUAACACUUCUUUGGACCCCCCUUUCUGGAUGGAAAUGCCUCUGAAGGACUUCAGUUUUCUUAGCUUCAGAGCAGAGAUCUUCUUUAUAACAAGGCAAUGACUCUGUUUUGUGUGUCUGUGAGCUCCUUUUGCCAAGCUCAUCUGGUGAAGAAACUAAUGGACACUGGAAACAUUCCUGUGACUGCCCUGCUUCAUGUACCGCGUGCUGCACAUCAGCACAAGAGGAGUCCCUGCUUCUAAAAUUGAACUCUCUUUCUUAACAACCUCAUUUACCAGGACACUGAGCUGGCGAAUCAGAUGCACACGACUUGCCUGGCUGUGCUGCAUCCAAGCUCUGCCUUCCUGCAACAUAUGCUCUCCCCUUGAAGUUCACUGCAGGUAAUUUCAUCUCUAAGAGCUUGUAGGUGUCUGGCUAUCUACUUUUUUUGUUGCUUAUUGCACUGGGAAAACUCUUGAAAUUAUUUGUUUCCUUGCUGCUUUGACAGACCAUGCCAUCGGAAAGGCACAUGUAAUAUUCAAAAAGAUAAUGAAAUGUCUCCCAGUAUAUCUACAGCUGAUUUAAAAACUGUUUAGAAAUAUCUUGGUUUGUGUUUCAUUUAAUUAUUAGUUGGUAAGAGAUAAAUUAUUCUAUAAUUUUCACUCAAAGAGUAAUCUGUAAGUAUUCACAAAUGCAGACAAAUCUUUUUAAGUAGUGUGUGUAUAUAUAUAUAUAAUAAACAAAACCAAAACUCCUACUUAAUUUUGUGUGGUUUAGAAUUCUGCACAUUAAAUAUGGAGGGCACUAUCCACAGAUAUAAUCUAAGCAAUUCUUUUUCUUAAAAGCAGUGACUAUGAUCUUGGUUCAGGAAGUAAAUGAAAUAUUUCAGAAUAUAGGCUAUUUUUCUGAAGGUAGAAAAAAUAGGGCGGGACAAAUAUUUGCUGCAUCUUGUACUACUUGUAGGAAGUAGCUGCUUUCUUUGUGUCAUUGGAAAUGAUACAAACAUGUACUAUUACUUGCUUGUUGGCAUACAGGCUAGAAAUAAACGAAUUAUCUAUUUAAUGUAUGCCCUUCCUUCUGGAUCUCAGGUUUCAGUCCAGUGAGUUAAAGUUACUACCAGCUUUCAGGCUAUGAGAUAAAUCUCUGCCCCACAAAUGUCAGUAGGAGGUUUGGCAUUACAUUAAUUGGGACCAGGAUUUUACUCCAUGAGUAUUUUUUGGAGAAGAUCUGAAAUGCUGUGUUAAAAAUUCAAUUGACAGAAAUCUCAGCUUACAAGUACGUAAGGCAUUCAUUUCUAUCUUUAUGUAAAAUGAUUUGGUCAGUACCCCAAGGCAGUUAGAUUAAGACUCAUUACAGCUUUUACUUGCUGCUAAAAAUUCAGCAAUUCACAUCUAGAAUAGAUUUUGUUUUUACUAAGAGAGAAACAGACUCCAGAUAUUUAGCUUGUGACACAGAUAUGAUUUAUUUUAGACCAUGCAUCAGUCUAGAGUAGAUGGCUUAAGCUGCCAAAGUCAAUGGCUGGUUGUCUUAGAAGCCCUUCUAAGUGUACUAGAAAGUUAUACAUCAACUUACACAUCGCUGCGCGUAAGGUUUUGUGGAUGGCACAACACACAGAUGUUUUUCCUCACAGAACAGAUGAAUACAUUAGCCAAGGAUUUCUUAAAAAGGAAUGUGUUACUUCAGUGACAGCUGACCAGUAGUGCUCUUCAGCUGAAGAAAUUUAGUUGUCUCUUGACAGCAAGGAGAUUAGUAAUUUCUUAAUUCACUCAGCAGCCUGGAGCUUACACCAAAAAUACUAUAGGCUAUGUGUACUACAUAAUAAUUCACAGUAUUUCACAGAGGCUAUGUCCCUUACCAUUAGGCUUUCAACUGGAGCAGAAAGAAAAUAAUACAAGCUCACUGUAAAAAUACAUUCUUGCUAUUUCUGCAUAAACUUUUCAUCACAAAAGUAAGCUCAGACCAUCCGAGUGGUGAAGGGAGUGCCCAGCGCAGCACCCAGGUUGUGCAAAACUGGCUUUAGGCCAACUUUAUCUUCUCCUGGUUGUGGAACCCUUUUGAGGCUGGUGUAUGGCAAAGAAUUUAAAGGCUAGUGUAGAUGCCAGCAGUCUCAAAAGGGCUAUUUUAGUAGCCAGGAUUAUUGGGGCAUAAAGGAACCACAAAGCCCUUGCUCUCUGACUGCCUCGUGCCAAUAAAACACAGCAAGGGAGUGACAGAAGAUGCUUACAGCAUAGGAGGUUUUCAUUGUUUUUUGUGAAUAUCUUUGUGACAAAUCCCUCUGGCAUCCUGGACUCACGCAGAUCUGCCCUGGUUUGCCGGAGUUACAGUUUUGGGGAGACAACUGAAGUGCUGGAGAUUACUUUUUAAAGACAUUAUACUGACAAAUUAAGUUCAAAGUCUAAGCAGGGCCCUCCCAAAUGGCAACUCUCCAGGGCUGGACAGUUAUAGCAUUAACUUCUAUAAAUCUUUUCAGGAGCUUCUUGGGCUUCAAAUACUUCCAACAUUUCGUCAUUCCCGUUAAACAGGGAAAAUUGCUGAAUCCUUUUUUGGAGGCCAGCAUAAUUAUAUUCUCAGAAAAUAAUAAUAAUAAUAAAAAAAAGUUGGAAAACAGACCAUAUGAUAGAAUUAGUUAAGUAUCAUAGUAAAUGCUGGCAAAAAUGUUUAUACAAUGGCUUUCUUAGAUGCACUCCUGGAAACCGAUGUUGAUACAAAAAGGUGCAAGAAGAACUUUUAAGAGAUUUGUUUAGGACUCUUCUUUGUAGCUGGGGAAUAGUGUAAUUUCAGCUAUAAAACCUCUGCCACACUGUGCACAUGUAUCACUGUAAAGUGUGCACUUCUUUACUUGCAUGUCCCAAACAAAACCAACUGGACCAAAUGUUUUUGUUGCUUUACAUCGAGUGCUUUUUCUUCCAUCAUAUUUGCUUGCUACUUCUAUUCCUGUUAAUUAGCAUUCUGGGAUAUUUGGGAGGUAAAAAUGGGAAAACCAGUGUCAAAGGAGUCUCUUCAGCAAUAAAACUGAUCACAUUAUUACAGCCAGAAGCUCACAAGACAACAUGAGCAGUGUGCUCAUGCAGCUGGGUACUUCCAUGAAUGAUUCAAUAAAGUAUCACUUGUUUAAAAAAAAAAACUGUCCAGUGAACUAACACUCUACAAUAAAGCCUCCAAUGAAGGUAUGCUUUCUUUUUUUUUUGAUGUUGUGACUAGAGCUAUUGAGAUAAAAUUUGGUGUCCAUCCUCACAUCUCUACAUAAAACAAAA